UUUUUUUUUUUUCUGUAUAGCUGAUGAGUGUUAAGUUGAGGCUGGCAGUAAGCCACCCGCUCACUAAAAAUUUUAAGUCCCGAAAUGAAAAGCAUCUCAAUAUGCUCUGCAGACAUCCAAACAACAACAACAACAAAUCACAAUUCUUUGUCACACUUACACUACAUCAGCACUUAACAAAGUAUGAGUGAGCAAAGCCUGUGCAUUGCAAAGAACAAAAAAGCAAGUGACCUCAAAAGGUGAGAGAUGGUGCCAAAUGGUGAACUGCAUCCAAAAUGAGGGUCUUUUUCUCUGUAAUCUGUUUGAUGCAGGAUGCAUCAGUGUCUUGGCACUGCAUAGCUGUGAUUUCACCUAAGGAGAAGAAUGCUUGUUCUAAUGUUUUUUUCCUAUUUUUGUGUUUGUUCGUUUUUGGGUUUUUUUAAUGUUAUUUCUUAUUGAGUUUAGUACCUUUGUCUGAAUUGAAUCUCCUCCUGUUUUCCUCUUUUUGUUUAUUUUUCUUUCUUUAAAAAAACCCAAAAUUGCAUACCAAUAUCCCUCUAUAUGUCUCAAUUGGAAAAAAACAAACUUAAACAGUAGUUACAAUUUAUCCAUAAGCUCUUGAAUUACAUACUAAAAACUUUCUCUCUCUCAAAAAAAGCACAUUACCAUUUAAGAAAACAUGCUGCUUAGAGAUUUUCAAAAAUUUCUUGCCAUAUAUUGAUCUGAACAACUAAAUAACUCAUUAAGAAGCUUACAAAUGUAAAGCUUUUAGUUUUUACCCACUCCCAUGCCAUGAUUUUUGCCAUGACAGAAUUCUUUUUGCCACACUACUGUGUAAAGGACUGCAUCGGGGGACUUACCUUUGUUGAGACAGUCUGGCAGGGCAAACUCAGUCAGAUGACCCAUUCCAUCCCAUAGACUAUGUGGUUAAUAUUUGAAUUCUUAAAAUAACUUUUAUUUUAUAAAAGUUUUACAUUGACAAAAAGGUUGUGAAGAUUGUAUUAAGAGGUCCUAUAUGCCUCACACGCAGUUCUCCUGUUAUUAAUGUCUUAUAUCAGAAUCAUCUAUUUAUCACAACUACAAUUUUAAGAAAUCCUUAACUCCUUUUAUUUGAGUGGCAUUAAAAAUACAUAUCAAUAUAUUAUUAGUAACCAAUACCCAUACUUUAUUCAGAUAUCCUUAGUUUUUACCUGAUAUCCUUUUUCUGUUCCAGGAUCCUACAAAAGGGACCUCAUUCCAUUAAGCUCCAUAUACACUUCUAUACUGUGACUGCUUCUUAAGUCUUUAUUUACUUUUGAUGACUUGACAGAUCUGAGGAACACUGGUCAAUUUGCAGCAUUUCCCUCAAUUUGUAUGUGCCUAUUAGCCUUAUAAUUAGACUGGGGUAAUGUAUGUUAGGGGAGGAAGACCACAAAGGAAAAGUGCCAUUUUCAUUAGAUCAUAACAAAACUACAUGCCAUUACCAUAGUAUGACUGUUGAUAUUAACCUUUUUUUAUUACUCAGUGAAUUUAUUACAUUUAUAGAAGUACAAUGAUCAUCACAAUCCAAUUUUAUAGGAUUUCCAUCACACAACCCCAGAGCAUCCCCCCACCCCACAAACUGUCUCCUUUGAAGACCAUAAGUUUUUCAAAGUGUAUGAGUCAGUAUCUGUUCUGCAAAGAAGUUCAUUCUGUCCUUUUUUCAGAUUCCACAUGUCAGUGAAAGCAUUUGAUGUUGGUGUCUCACUGACUGACGUAACUCAGCAUGAUAAUUUCUAGGUCCAUCCAUGUUGCUAAAAAUACUGGUAUUUUAUUCCUUUUAAUGGCUGAGUAAUAUUCCCUUGUAUAUAUGUAUACUACAUCUUCUUGAUCCACUCCUCUGUCAAUGGACAUUUAGGUUGUUUCCAUGUCUUGGCUAUUGAAAAGAGUGGUGCAAAAAACACUGCAGUUCACGUGUCUUUUCGAGUCAUAGUUUUCUCUGGAUAGAUAUCCAGGAGUGGGAUUGCUGGAUCAAAUGGUAGUUCUAUUUUGAGUUUUGUGAGGAAUCUCCAUGCUGUUUUCCACAGUGGUUGCACCAAUUUACAAUCCCACCAACAGUGUAAUAGGGUUCCUUUUUCUCCACAACCUCCCCAGCACUUAUUAUUUGUAGACUUUUUGAUAAUGGCCAUUCUGGCUGGUGUAAGAUGGUACCUUACAGUGGUUUUGGUUUUCACUUCUCUGACAAUGAAUGAUAUUGAACAUCUUUUCAUGUGUUUUUUUGGCCAUAUGUAUGUCUUCUUUGGAGAACUGUCUAUUUAGAUCUUCUGCCCAUUUUUUGAUGGGGUUGUCUGUUUAUUUGGUAUGGAGCUGUAGAAGGUGUUUAUAAAUUUUGGAGAUGAAUCCCUUGUCAGUUGAUUCAUUUGCAAAGAUUUUCUCCCAUUAUGUGGGUUGUCUUUUCGUUUUGUUUAGGGUUUCCUUUUUUGUGUGGAAACUUUUAAGUUUAAUUAGGUCUUAAUUGUUUAUUUUUGUUUGCAAUGUCAUUACUCUAAGAGGUGGAUCUGAGAAGAUGUUGCUGUCAAUUAUAUCAGAGAGUGUUUGGCCUGGUUUCCUCUAAGAGUUUUAUACUGUCUGGUCUUAUAUCUAGGUCUUUAAUGCAUUUUGAACUUAUUUUUGUGUAUGGUGUUAGGGAGUGUUCUAAAUUCAUUCUUUUCCAUGUGGCUGUCCAUUUUCCCAGCACCACAAAUUGAAAAGGCUGUCUUUUCUCCAUUGUUUACUUUUGCCUCCUUUGUCAUAGAUGAGUUAACUGUAGGUACAUGGGCUUAAAUCUGGCCUUUCUAUCCUGUUCCACUGAUCUAUAUUUCUGUCUUUGUGCUAGUACCAUAUGGUUUUGAUGACUGUUGCUUUGUAGUAUAGUCUGAAGUUAGGGAGCCUGAUUCAUCCAGCUCCAUUUUUCUUGUUCAGGAUGUCUUUGGCUAUUCUGAGUCUUUUGUGCUUCCAGACAAACUUUAAAAUAUUUUGUUCAAGUUCUGUGAAAAACAUCCUUGGUAAUUUGAUAGGGAUUGCAUUGAAUCUGUAUAUUGCCUUAGGUAGUACAGUCAUUUUGAUAAUAUUAACUCUUCUAGUCCAAGAGCAUGGUAUGUCUUUCCAUCUAUUUGUGUCAUCUUUGAUUUCUUUCAUCAGUGUCUUAUAGUUUUCAGAGUACAGGUCUUUUGUCUCUUUGGGUAGGCUUAUUCCUAGGAAUUUUAUUCUUUUGGAUGCAAUGGUAAAUAGGAUUGCUUCCCUAAUUUCUCUUUCUAUCUUUCAUUGUUAGUAUAUAGAAAUGCCAUCAAUUUCUGUGUAUUAAUUUUGUAUCCUGUGACUUUGCCAAAUUCAUGGAUGAGCUCUAACAGUUUUCUGGUAGAGUCUUUAGGAUUCUCUAGGUAUAGUAUCAUGUCAUCUGCAAAUAGUGGUAGUUUUACUUCUCCUUUCCAAUUUGGGUUCCUUUUAUUUCUUUUACUUCUCUGAUUGCUAUGGCUAGGACUUCCAAACCUAUGUUGAAUAAUAGUGGUUAGAGCGGACAUCCUUGUCUGAUCUCAGGGGGAAUUCUUUCAGAUUUUCACCAUUGAGAAUGGUGUUAGCUGUGGGUUUGUCAUAUAUGGCCUUUAUGAUGUUGAGGUAGGUUUCCUCUAUGCCCACUUUCUGAAGGGUUUUUACCAGAAAUGGGUGUUGGAUUUUGUCAAAGGCUUUUUCUGCAUCCCUUGAGAGGAUCAUAUGGUUUUUAUUCUUCAGUUUGUUAAUGUGGGGUAUCAUAUUGAUGGAUUUGUGGAUAUUGAAGAACCCUUGCAUCCCUGGGACAAAUCACACUUGAUCAUGAUGUACAAUCCUUUUAAUGUAUUAUUGGAUUCAGGUUCCUAGUAUUUUGUUGAGGAUUUUUGCAUCGAUGUUCAUCAGUGAAAUUGGCCUGUACUUUUCUUUUUUUGUAGUAUCUUUGUCUGGUUUUGGUAUCAGGGUGAUGGUGGCCUCACAGAAUGAGUUUGGGAGUAUUCCUUCCUCUACAAUUUUUUGAAAUAUUUUCAGAAGGAGAGGUGUUAGUUCUUCUCUAAAUGUUUGAUAGAAUUCGCCUGUGAAGCCAUGUGGUCCUAGACUUUUGUUUGUUGGAAGUUUUUUAAUGACAGUUUUCUUGUGAUUGGUCCAUUCAUCUUUUCUAUUUCAUCUUGGUUUAGUUUUGGAAGACUGUUCUUUUCUAAGAAUUUUUCCAUUUCUUCUAGGUUUUCCAUUUUAUUGGCGAAUAGUUGCGUACAUUGGUCUCUUAUGAUUCUUUGUAUUUCUGUGAUGUCCGUUGUUACUUCUUCAUUUCUAAUUUUAUUGAUUUGUGUCUUCUCUAACGUUCUUGAUAAGUCUGGCUAAGGGUUUAUCAAUUUUGUUGAUCUUUUCAAAGAACAACUUUUUCUUUCAUUCAUCAUCUCUAUGGUUUUCUUUGUUUCUAUUUCAUUGAUUCUGCUCUGAUUUUUAUGAUUUCUUUCCUUCUGCUAACUUUAGGUCUUGCCUGUUCUUCUCUCUAAAGCUGCUUUAGAUGUAAAGUUAGCUUAUUUAUUUGAGCUUUUUCUUGUUUCCCAAGGUGGGCUUGUAUUGCUAUAAACUUUCCCCUUAAAAUGGCUGUUGCUGCGUCCCAUAGGUUUUGGCUUGUUGAGUCUUUGUUGCCAUUUACUUCUAGAUAUUUUUAAUUUCCUCUUUGAUUUCUUCAGUGAUCCAUUGGUUGUUUAGUAGCAUGUUGUUUAGUCUCCACGUGUUUGUGUUUCUUGCAGUUUUUUUCUUGUUGUUGAUUUCCAGUCAUAUAGCAUUGUGGUUGGAAAAGAUACUUGAUAUGAUUUCAAUUUUCUUAAAGUUCCUGAGGUUUGAUUUGUAGCCCAGAAUGUGAUCAAUCAUAGAGAAUGUUCCAUGUGCAGUUGAGAAGAAUGUGUAUUCUGUUGCUUUGGGAUAGAAUGUCCUAUAAAUAUCUAUGAAGUCCAUCAAGUCUAAUGCUUCAUUCAGGGCCUCUGUUUCCUUAUUGAUUUUCUGUCUGGAUGAUCUGUCCAUUACUGUCAGUGGGGUGUUAAAGUCCCCCACUAUUAUUGCGUUACUGUCGAUUUGUCCUUUUAAGGUUGUUAGGAAUUGCCUUAUGUCUCAUGGUGGACCUAUGUUGGAUGCGUAGAUAUUUAAAAUUGAUAUCUCUUCUUCUUGGAUUGAUCCUUUGAUCAUUAGGUAGUGACCUUCUUUGUCCC
rnacentral:lncRNA from 1 species